GAUUCACAAGGGGGUGGGCCUUGGACAGCGUAUAUGAUUUUGGACAAAUGAGAUGUUAAACCACUUGGAGACAACGGUGCUGGAGAUGUAGCCAUCCUGGCGGACAGCCCCAACUCCCCCGUGUGCCGCGGGGAGGACCGGGGCUGUGGAUGUAGAGGGAAGCCAUCUGACGACAUGUGAGUGGAGAGAAAAAAAUAAAGAGGACCCGUAAAAUUUUUAAAAAUGGACGGGGCCGGUGGGACGUCACGAUGCGUCGUCGCCACAAAGCUCUGUACGCCGCUCAUGAACGCGCUCAUUUGGCUCCCAGCAUGCCGCACGUCCGGAGAGACCAGCGCUUUCCAGGAGCUCAGCUGAACCCAGUGCAGUACACCCUGCUGCACCCGUGUAGGAGAAAGUUACAUUCACGCCGUGUCCCGGAGACGGAAGUGCAUCACAAGUGAGAAGUCAGCUGAUGCACAAGUGGAUAAGUUGCUAAUUUGAAGUGGGACCGCUGCAACACCUCAGGAGCGUUGCCGGUGCAGAAAACUCACAUUUAAAAACAUCAGAAAGGAACUCCAGGCUCUUCUCCAACCUUCAGGUGUAUCAGAGGUUGUGUGUGUGUGUGUCUGCGCGUUGCUGGAGGAGAGCGGUGUCCGCAGGCCUGAGGGGUUGUCUGUUAUCUUUGGUUAUCUAGCUGUAUGAGUGACGUACAUUCUUCAUAAAGCUAGAUAACCGAAAGUAACAAGAAUCCCAUUACACGCCUGCACAGGAAAAAGGAAACAACAGAAAUGAGACAUAAAGAAGCAGCACGGGAGGACGGGAGGUGGACAAAAGAUCCUGCUAAGCGAUGACGUGAAGGCUUCAAAUCUGCCUCGCGUUGGGAGACACCAACUAAAAGACUCUGAGUCAGUGAUGACGCCCGUUUCACACAGGACUACAACAUCAUCAACCACCGUUGUUAGCCGUUGUUAGAAAGCAAACACAGUAACAACUUCUGUCAGUGGACAACCUGACAGUGGACGGUUAAAACUGCCUGGACUUGUUAAAGGACGCAGAGGUCCCUGUGCGCCCGAGAACGUCGUUAUCAGUCUGACGACAAAGAGAAACAAGAAGACAGAUGACUCUGAAUGAAGUAAACAAACAGACUCUUGAAUACUGUGAAGCGGAAACUCAGAUUGAAGGAUGCUACAGUGGACUGUGUGUGUGUGUGUGUGUUUAGAGAGGCUCUGCGCAUCUGUUCAGGAAACAUCUGCGCUAGAUUUUAAUGUAGGUCACAGCUUAGAUUAUUCCCUCACACACACACAAACACACCAAAAUAAAUCCAUCGCCUCAUCACUGAGAUUUAUGUAUAUUUCUGGAAAUUAGAGAAAAAGGAAAAAUACAAACAAAAACUAGUAAAUAUGAAAUAGUAUAAUUAUUAAUAGUAAUGCUAGCAAUUUAUCCCUCUUUAGAUGAGGAUUUUAACAUU